AACUUUCAACAACGGAUCUCUUGGCUCUGGCAUCGAUGAAGAACGCAGCAAAAUGCGAUAAGUAAUGUGAAUUGCAGAAUUCAGUGAAUGGUUAGAUAGUAGAUGUAAAGAGGGUUG
rnacentral:rRNA from 1 species